CCUCCUGCAUGUGACUUUCUCCAAAGGUGCCAUUUUUCUCACCUUCAGUUUUCCAGCCAGGCUGCUGCUCCUGCUGGCUCUCCAGAGCCUCUCCAGCGAAACAAUUCCUCCUGGGAUAAGUCCCUUCACCCGUUUCCAUGGCAAAGAGUGAGCACCUUCUCUUUUAUGCUGAUUCACUGAUCUGUUCUUUCCCCUCAGGAAUUCAUACUGGAGAGCGUGUGGAAUGUGGCAGCUCCUCUUUGUCCUGAAGAGUUGUGUCUGAAUGGAGCAUCGUCAGGAUUUAAUUACAGCCCAUUCUCAGUCCUGAACAUCCUCAACAGCUCGUGGGCUGUUGAUGGAAAAGUGGAGGUCAUAGCCUAUGAGACUGCAAGUGGGGCUCUGACAGCCCAAGGAGGAGAUGGAGCCUGUCAGCAGCGAAAAGGGUUUUCUCUUCCAGCUGACAGAUGCAGAGUUCUACUCCAUGUGUGCUUUGAGGUGAAGGAACAUCCUUGUAGUUCACAGAGGAAAUCACAAAUCCAUGGCUUCUGCAUUAAGGUUUUGAGGAUUUAACCUUGGAAGUGUCCAUGAGAGGCCAAGGAAAAUAAUGAAUUAACUUAGAUCUUGGAGUCCAGGGAGAGCUGAGCUGGAUUAGGAUUGAUUUAGGAUGGACUCGUGCUGCAGCAAUGGGAAUGGAACAGAUUUAGGUUGGAAUCAGACCUGGAAUUCUGGGGUCUAAAACCCACCCUUGAAUCUAGAAGCACCAAAUAUCCUUGGAGUCACAGCCAGUCAGGAAAAAGCUCCCUUUUUCUCAGUUUUCUGGCCUCAAAUACCUAUUACAGUUGUCCCAACAUCCUGACUUGAGCAAGUGGCUUCCACCUGCACUCCAGGGAUUUUUGGAAUGUUGUCCCAUAAAAUCACAGGAGGUUGGAAAAGACCCCUAAGGUUGAGCCCAACCAUUAACUCAGCCCAAAUUCACCACUAACCCACGUCCCCCAGUGCCACAUCCACCUGUUCUCUGAUCUCCUCCAGGUGAUUCCACUGCUCCAGUGCCUGACCAACCUUUCCAGGAUAUCAUUUUUCCUGAUAUCCAACCUAAACUUCCUCUGGAGUAACCUGAGAAACAGCUGGAAGAACAUUGGAUCAAGCCUCUCCAUGAAGACACGUGGAUAUAUCUGAUGCAGAAAUUUCUACCCAUACAUUUGAGGACAAAACUACACCUCUGAGCACUUCAGGAGAGGUUGUUCCUGCUGUUCUGCCACUUCAGGAUCUGUUUCCCCGGGAACACAGACAUGGAAAAAAUCUGCUGACAUGGUUCUGCAAGGGAACCAGACUGUUAUUGCAGAGGUGUCAGUGUUGUGAGACUUUAUUGGAAAUCUGGGAAGAUUUGUGUCGUGCCUGGCAAAGGCCUGUCCCAGGUGGUAUGAGGUGGCCCUGAGGUAGAGGGGGAAAACAGAGCACCCAAAAGAUGUUCAGAGCAUCUCCUGAGGGAUUUUCUGCCUUUCUCCAAACACCACAAUAUUUUAGGAUGUAGUUUAAGACAUAGGACAACUCUGCUUUUCCCCUCCAGACAAACUGAGCUCCUUCUUCCCAAGGAGCCUCAAUUACUUUUCUGAAGCCACUGGGACAUCACAAGGAUAAUUCUGCCUUUCAAGAAAUCUCUCUUCAAGCUUCCCACUGAUGGAAACCCUAUGUUGCUGAAAGGUGGCAAUUAAUCCUUAAACAAAGACAGAUUGCUUGUCAUAGGUUCCUGCUGGCCCAGUCACACCAGAGCCAUUUCUGGCUGCUCAAAUCUGACUUUCUGAUGUUAUUGUCUCCCCCCAUCUCAUAAACAUCUGACAGACAUUUUCUUCCAAAUAGGAAUUUCUCUUUCAUUUUGCCAUUAUGGCAGCUCGAGGAGGUGUUUUUCAUUUCAUAACAACAUCCCUGAGGGCAAAUAGCUGAUAGAGAGACUAAAUUCCCUAAAGCAAUUUCCUUUGCUAUCCAAACCCUCUCCUCCUCUAUUGGUGCAAUCAGAAGUGGGAGAUGGAUAAAAGCUACUUGGUUACAAGUUCAUCUCCUGUCAGUGCAGGAGUUGUUCUCUGCAGUUUAUUUCUGGUGUUUUGACCAAUCUGUUAUUUCAAAGUUUAUUGUAUCUGUCUGUUCAGAGAUAGAAGUUUCUCCUCUUAGUCAGCCUAAAUUAUCAUCUUCCUUUUUUCAUCCUUUUUUCCUCCCCUUCCUCUCAUUUCUACUUUCUUGCAGCUGGAAAUUACAGAACCUCACACCUUUAAUACUGACAGGAAAGAAGUUUUUUUUCCUGGAACGAUAACAAAUUGGGGAAGUCUCAUGUAAAAUUUUAUUUCUAUAUCUUAAGAUAAAUCUGGGUAUGAGACAUAAAAGCUGCUGGAGAAAAGAGCAGGCUUAGGAUCCUGGUGUCUCUGGAAUUGUUCUAAGACACCAUCUCUGGCUGAGCAAUGUGUAACAAAUUAAUUUGAUAACUGUUGGCUUCUCCAUGGGUUUUGUAGGGUUCUUUUUGGUGUUGUGUGUGAUGAACAUUUGCUGUCCACUGCUGGCUUUAGCAAAUCUAACAAUCCACUGGAAAAGCAAGAAGUGGAGGAGAGUUUUAGGCAAUUUUUUCUCCUUUCCCUGUCAUUCCCAGUGUUGGCAGCUGUCAAACCCACACACCAGACAGAUUUUUGUCAGGAAAGGGAAUCAACAGUGCUGCCUCUGGAAGAAGGAGUUGUAGGACUUGUCCCCAGCCAGGACUUCAGCUGAGUCCCUUUUUGGAGCUGCAUCCCGAGGUGCUGGUCCCUGGGAGGGAAGGGCAGGGGACAGAGCAGUCUUGGCACACUGAGAAGCCAAACUUUCUGCACGGACAGCAGUGCUGUGGAAAAGGGGCUGCUUUGGGAGGUAGGAAGAGGUUAAUAAGCACUGAGAGAGGGAGAAAGAAGAAAUCAAAGCACAAAAAGAAAAUCUUGCUCUGUCUGCUUCAGCCCUUUGGUGUAGAGUUGCUGGCUCUGCUUGGCCUGCCCCCUUUUUUCCCCAGUCUAUUCAUAGGGAUGUAUUUAACACUUCUGCUUGCUUUAAAACCCAAAAGUACACCAAGGCUAAAUAUAAGCAUCUCUCCAGCUCUUUGUUCUCUCUUAAAAAGGCUGUAGCUGAGUCUUCACUCCCUUGCACCUUGAGAUCCUAAUUACACAUGUCAGAUGAGGUGUGGGCUGCUACCACCAACAUCAGAGGAGGAUUGGCUUUGAUGUCUUACACCUUCCCUCCACCGACUGAAAUCACUGCCAGAGGUGCAAGACAGACUAAUACCUCCCUGUUUAUCUCAAUGCAAAGCUUUCUGAUUAAAAUAUUUGAGUGAAACAGUGCACUGGUGAUACACUCCUCGAUUUUUAACAUGCUGCUUUUAUGAAGUUUAUAAAGGCAAGUUGAUCAAUCAUUGCUGUGCCAAUUCCCCUCUCACAUGGUCAGAUGGGGACACACAGCGUGGCCUUAAAGGCAGUUUGAAAUUUUAGUUCAAUAAUAUUUGUGAUAAAGCUUUUUACUCUCAUGGAAGAGUAAACUUUAUACUUAAGGUAAGUUUAACAUUUUUUUUUCAUCAAUUAAGCCAAUGUAUUUUCCAUAGAAUUGCUGCAAUUAUCUCUCUCUAGUCCCUGAAAUGAGCUUGUGGUGAGAUGGGGGUCAGCCUCUUCUCCCAGGGAACUGGUGGCUGGACAAGGGGAAGUGGCCUCAAGUUGUGCCAGGGGAAAUUCAGGUUGGAUAUCAGGGAAAAUUCCUUCACUGAAAGAGUGGUUAACCAUUGGCACAGGCUGCCCAGGGAAAGGGGGGGGAGUCACCAUCCCUGGGAGUCUUCAAACAACAACUAGAAGUGGUAGUUUGUGAUGUGGUUUAGUGGGCAGGGUGGUAUUUGGUCAAAGCCUGGACUUGAUGAUCUCAGAGGUCUUUUCCAACCUUAAUUUUAUUGAAUCUAUGACUAUGAGCUCUUUAUUGUGAUAACUGCACAGUUGCAAUCAUCCUGUUGCACCCCAUGGCACGGUGUGUUUGCUGAUAUUCAGCACUCCAGAGCACAUUGAAAUUCCCUCUCACUCUGCUUUGUCCUUCCCUGGGCCUCUUUCCCCUAAUUUCAGUCUUUAAUGUGUAACCAGGAUCCCAUUUCCGUGGAGGCUCUCUCAUGGACCUGUUUGUGGUGAUUAAAGCUCAGCAAGUCCAGGAACCUUCAGACUUUGUUCUCUGAGAGGAACCUUUCAUUUAAAAUCCCUUAACGCCCUUCUGCUCUUCUGUGGAAAUAAUAAAUAAUAACAGAGGUCCUUACAGAUAAGUUAUUUUUCAUUUGCACAGAACCUACAGUACUACAGGAUAGUAAAAUAUGCCACUAUAGGGACAAACCCCUUUGUGCCUUGAUAAAACAUCAGGGUCAUCCACAUUUUUUGGGCACGGGGGAUAAACCCUGGAAUGAGUCUUAUAAGGAAAUGUGUCUCGUAGUAAACAGGUUUCAAAGAGUUGUUACAGAGCUGCCACGAUUUCAGCUUUGAGCAAGGAAUGCUGUAAAUAUCAAUUGCUGUUAUAAAAAGCAGUAAUUGUGAUUUCCAGGAGUUUUACUUUCUUAUUUUAUCCUGCUGUUUGUAUCCCACCAAGAGCUGUAGCAAUAUAAAAAUACAUGGAUUCAUUCAAAUGCUCACUAAUACACUGUUUAAUUCAAAUUGUUCUUAAAUAGCUUCCUAAAUUCUAUUUCAUUUUGUUAUUUUGGGAUUUAUUGCUGCUUUAGUUCAUAAAGCUGCUGGAUUCCAAAAUCUGAAUUACAGUCCCUCUGCAGUUUUUUGUUU